AAAGAUGCUGAUGCGUGGGGGGAGAGAGUGGGAGGAGUGCGCGUACACGGGAGGCGGGAGGCGGGGCCAGGGAGGAGGAAGACAGCCGCGACGGCGACCAGUGCCGCGCCGCCGGCGGCGAGGAGAGCUCCGGGUUCACCGGAUCGAGCGUCGCCGAGGAGGGGGACACUCCACGGCGGCGGUGCUUGGGGCUCCGACGAGCGGAGGCGAGCGGCGACAGGAGGCGACAGGAGAAGCUCCGCGGCGACCUGAAGGCCAUCAGCCAUGGCCGUUGUGGUUUCGCGUGCGCCCGCGCGCGGCUGCACGCUGGGGGAGGCGGAGCUUGACGCAGCGCGCGAACCUAGCCUUGGUGCGAGUGCGACGGCGACGCGGCUGCUGUCCUCCCGUCUAACCCGCAGCACGUCGAGCCUCACCGGAGUUCCUCCAUGACGCCGUAAGCAGCUGCCACUGCCCUCCAUGGAGCCCCGACGCCUCCGCCAUGAACCCAUCCAUCCCUCCUGUGCGCGCUUCCCUGCAACUCCAGACGCCCGCCCGCAGCUCUCUGCAUCGAGCAGCAGCAGUUCGGGCAGAGGACGACGCCUCUGCCUCGACCGCUCGCCCCCUCUGCUUCGCGCUGGACUGCCAAGCCCCUCCCGUCCUCAUCCCCGUGCAGCUGCACGCUCUCGCCUGCCCCCACGGUGAGCUCCGCCUCCUGCGUGUGGUCGCCGCCUCCCUCAACCUCCACCACCUGCUGCAAGUUGGUGCCCAGGGCGUCGCAAGCUGCCAGCGGCGGCAGAGUUGCUGCUCCCGUGUCGUGAUUGGACUCCGUGUUCUUCUCCAACAGCAAAUACGUGUUCUUCUCCAACACCAAUCAAUGGAUUUCCCGAGCCGGAUUUGAGUUGCCUACUAUAAGAAGGAAGGGUCCUCGGACCAGAAGCUCCAUCACAUCAAAUCAAAUCCCGUCGAAAUUGCAAUCUUCGUCGAAACAUCCAUGUCGCCGCCGAGUUCGCCGGAGGAAGAAGCGCAGAGUUCGCCGGAGGAACAAGCGUUGGACGUGUGUGGCGGCGUGCUCGGAGAGCGGGGAGGGGCGCUGUGGUGGUGGAGAUGGCCGACGCCGUAGACAAGCGCUGGGAGCUUCUGAAGCCAUGGCCGAGCGAAGGGGAGAGCCGCCAUGCUAGACGAGAACAACAACCGUGGUAGAUGAUGUUCAGGGAGAUAUUACAAACUGCUAGAUGUUGCUACUGUAUUGACUAUAAGCUGCUGGAUUUCUUGCUCCCAAGUAUACUUGCUUAUCUGUGCUAUAAUGGAAAAUAGCCUAACCGUUGGACCUUCAGUUUAUUAUAUUUUCUUCUUUGUUCUUGGUAGACAUGCGCAAGUCAAUGGCUGAUCACUUCUUUAUAUGCGAUCCUGAGCUGAUGCGAAGGUCCUAUGUUUUCUUGAUUGGCAGGCAGGUGAGCAAGAGGAGGACCAUAGGUCAGGGAGUGUUUGGUUUCAGGGAGAUCGUUGGGGAGGAGUUCAUGACCAUGUUCCUGUCAGUUUUUAGCCGUAUGGUUCAGAAUCGCCAUAAUUGGAGUGGCAUUUAUCAAAUUAACCCUAAUUACUUUGUCAAACACACAUAUUCUUUCUUGAUACGCAUUUUCAUUUUUGGUUAUCUGUGAGAAUGUUUAGUAUACAGAGAAGUUGUUCCAUGGAUCAGCUAAACAAAAAAUAACUUUUCAUUUGUGAUAGUUUGCGAUAUGCAGAGAUAGGUCUAUCAAAGUUUGUAAUGGCUCAUGGCCAAACAUAUGAAACUGUUCUUGAUACUAUUUUAUCCUUUUCUUAAUAUCAUCAUCAUCAUAUAUAUAUGUGUGUGUGUAUAUAUAUAUAUACACACACACACACACACAAAUUAGAAACUUUCUAACAUCUGCAUAUUUCAGGUUUAGGAGGAUGUAGAGAGAACGAUGUUCAAACAAUUAAGUGCAGCAUCAACAGACGUGUUCCUAAAUUUUGAUGACUAUUAGAAAGAGAGAGGAUAUGGUGACCGAAAGUCGUGCCGUGUACGUGUCGGGCAGUGGUAGAUUAAAGAUAUUUUGUAAUUGGACUUGGCAAGGGAUAGAGACUAGCAUGAAUUUUUUUUUGAGCAGCGAAAUGGCGCAACCCUUCGUGAUUUUUGAAGUUUGAACAGAGUUAUGAACCAUUCGCCGCCUAAUCCCUAGAUUCUUGGAGUAUCAAGAUGGUGUGGCCAUCAGGGUUCCCAUCACCAUGCAUGCCAUGCUUGAGCUCCUCAAGAACGCCACCAAGCUGGCGUGUAAUGGAUGAUGGCUGAUGCAACGGUGGAGGAGGCGUAUUGAUGUCAGUUUGAAGCAAAUCAGGAGAACGCCACCAUCGGUGAGGUUGCCAGGUGAAGGAAGCAGCGGACUGGUGGCAAGGCUUUUCUACUCACCACCGUUUGAGUUCAUCAUCUGUCCCACUCAGUCGUAUCCAUGUUUGCAUAUUCUCCAGCCCAUUCAAUAAUCCACGUACCAACUUAUCUUAGAAACAAAGAAGCACCAAGCUGGACUGCUGGCCGAGGAGAUGCAUAUGUGGGCACUUUCUGCUGGCCAAGUUCAGAAGCAAAUUAACUGCUUGUAUUUGCAUAAGCAACAGAGAGAAAAUGUUAGAGAACUUAGCAAAAAAAUGAAAGGAGAAAGAAAUGUCUAAGAAACCGAAGGUAUUGCUGCAGCUGAUAGGUCGCCUACUCCUUUGGAUACCAUUCAUAUCGUACUUAACUCAGUGAGCAAAUUGAGGACUACGGUUAUCUUCCAUGUCUAUGUGAAAUAAAUGCGAUAGUUUCAUAACACCAAAUGGUCCAAAGUGCAUCCAAUACAUGGUCAAGAGCACCACUGACGUUCACGAAACCAAUAAUAUUACAGGUCAGUGUAGAUAUGAGUUUUCUAAUUUUGUCAAAUGCAGCUAUGUUAUACUAACAACCCGUGUUUGCAUGUCCUAAUUUAUGUCUGCAAAAGCUGUAUCUUUUGUUGAGCUAUAUUAUAAUAUUAUGUGUAUGUACGCGCAUGUUGCACAGAGAUGCUAUUUGGCAUGCAUGAAUUCUAAUUUUAAUUUAAAUUAGGCAUGCUUAAUCUCACACACCACAAAAUUUCCUUACUGUGUACUACAUCUUUUAUCUCCAAUUUGGAUAAUCUAAGCGAUAACUCUUUAGUCUGAUUUAAUUAUCUUCAAAAGUUUGCUAGAGGCUAUAGAUGAGGAGUCUUCUCGGUCCUGGUGUCUUCUCGGUCCUGGUGUGGCGACCUAGGAAGGACAAACAGGGUUGGUCGGCACCAAAGAUGAAAACAUUGUCGAGCCUUACUUUUUGCAAGUUGCCUCACUUCUACUACUUUUAGAGGAAAGAUAGCAAUUUCAGUCAUGUUGCACGAACACUUGUAGAUCGCGGUGCAUCAAGAUCAUAAUUGCUACACUCAAA